CCACCAAAGCCACAAAGCACUCCACCCUGCCUUUUUCCUCCUGGGAUGCAGGAAGGAGGAGAGAAGCAGAAUUCUUUCUGCAUCUGGGUUCGCUGUCAGCAGCAGGACCCCUUCAGCAGGAGGGAGAAAGAAGGGGACAGGAACUACCACGUGUCCAGUGCAACCUGCUAGGGGCUGUACAUGUGAUGUCUCAAUGGAGCCUAACAACAUUAUGGGGAUAGGUCUUAACAGGCCCUUUUUAGAGAUAAGAAAAAUGAAAAAUAGGAAAGGAAGCACAUUGGCCUCAGGCAUUAAGGGAUGAGCCAAAGCUGUCAAUUCUGUGGGUGGUGGGGCGAGCUGGAACCUCAGAACAAUAACCCCCGGGGGGUCAUUUAGGGUCCUGCACACUCAGCUAUUUCUGCUUCAAGAAGACUAAUUAGGAUUCUUUUACUGGAACUUGAGGAACAAAGGAGGUGGUUGAGAAGAACCAAAACAACCUUCUGAAUGAGUGAAAAUGAGUGUGUGUUAUGGACUAGGUGCUUCCUCCUAUGUUAUUCAUUUUAAUCCUCACAACCACGUGGACAGGUGGGCAGAACAGACAGGACCCCCAUGGCUGCAGGGAACUCAGGCUCAGAGAGGUCCAUUACACUGACUCCCAGGUCCCAUACCCAUCAUGGGGCCAUGAACCAUACUUGCUAAAUAGCUCAUUGUCCCACUGAGUUGCUCGAGGUCAGGACCACAUGUUAGUCACCAUCUGCCCCAGUCCCUGGUCCAACACCUGGCAGAGUAGAUGGCCAGA
rnacentral:lncRNA from 1 species